GACGAACGCUGGCGGCGUGCUUAACACAUGCAAGUCGAACGGAAAGGCCCUGCUUUUGUGGGGUGCUCGAGUGGCGAACGGGUGAGUAACACGUGAGUAACCUGCCCUUGACUUUGGGAUAACUUCAGGAAACUGGGGCUAAUACCGGAUAGGAGCUCCUGCUGCAUGGUGCGGGUUGGAAAGUUUCGGCGGUUGGGGCUGGACUCGCGGCUUAUCAGCUUGUUGGUGGGGUAGUGGCUUACCAAGGCUUUGACGGGUAGCCGGCCUGAGAGGGUGACCGGCCACAUUGGGACUGAGAUACGGCCCAGACUCCUACGGGAGGCAGCAGUGGGGAAUAUUGCACAAUGGGCGGAAGCCUGAUGCAGCAACGCCGCGUGCGGGAUGACGGCCUUCGGGUUGUGAACCGCUUUCGCCUGUGACGAAGCGUGAGUGACGGUAAUGGGUAAAGAAGCACCGGCUAACUACGUG
rnacentral:rRNA from 1 species